GCCCUUAGAGUUUGAUCCUGGCUCAGGAUGAACGCUGGCGGCGUGCCUAACACAUGCAAGUCGAGCGAUUCUCUUCGGAGAAGAGCGGCGGACGGGUGAGUAACGCGUGGGUAACCUGCCCUGUACACACGGAUAACAUACCGAAAGGUAUGCUAAUACGAGAUAAUAUGCUUUUAUCGCAUGGUAGAAGUAUCAAAGUUUUUGCGGUACAGGAUGGACCCGCGUCUGAUUAGCUAGUUGGUAAGGUAACGGCUUACCAAGGCGACGAUCAGUAGCCGACCUGAGAGGGUGAUCGGCCACAUUGGAACUGAGACACGGUCCAAACUCCUACGGGAGGCAGCAGUGGGGAAUAUUGCACAAUGGGCGAAAGCCUGAUGCAGCAACGCCGCGUGAGCGAUGAAGGCCUUCGGGUCGUAAAGCUCUGUCCUCAAGGAAGAUAAUGACGGUACUUGAGGAGGAAGCCCCGGCUAACUACGUGCCAGCAGCCGCGGUAAUACGUAGGGGGCUAGCGUUAUCCGGAAUUACUGGGCGUAAAGGGUGCGUAGGUGGUUUCUUAAGUCAGAGGUGAAAGGCUACGGCUCAACCGUAGUAAGCCUUUGAAACUGGGAAACUUGAGUGCAGGAGAGGAGAGUGGAAUUCCUAGUGUAGCGGUGAAAUGCGUAGAUAUUAGGAGGAACACCAGUUGCGAAGGCGGCUCUCUGGACUGUAACUGACACUGAGGCACGAAAGCGUGGGGAGCAAACAGGAUUAGAUACCCUGGUAGUCCACGCCGUAAACGAUGAGUACUAGCUGUCGGAGGUUACCCCCUUCGGUGGCGCAGCUAACGCAUUAAGUACUCCGCCUGGGAAGUACGCUCGCAAGAGUGAAACUCAAAGGAAUUGACG
rnacentral:rRNA from 1 species